AGACAAUGCUUAUGCAUCUCCUCAGCCUGAGUGUUCCCUGGGUAUCGACUGGUUGAUAUAUCAUCUUUAUCCAUAACUCACG
rnacentral:ncRNA from 1 species